rnacentral:rRNA from 1 species
AUUGAACGCUGGCGGCAUGCUUUACACAUGCAAGUCGAGCGGCAGCGCGGGGCAACCUGGCGGCGAGCGGCGAACGGGUGAGGAAUACAUCGGAACGUGCCCGAGAGUGGGGGAUAACGCCGCGAAAGCGGCGCUAAUACCGCAUAUUCUCUGAGGAGGAAAGUGGGGGACCGCAAGGCCUCACGCUCACGGAGCGGCCGAUGUCGGAGUAGCUAGUUGGUGGGGUAAAGGCUUACCAAGGCGACGAUCCGUAGCUGGUCUGAGAGGAUGAGCGGCCACACUGGGACUGGGACACGGCCCAGACUACUACGGGAGGAAGCAGUGGGGAAUUUUGGACAAUGGGGGCAACCCUGAUCCAGCCAUGCCGCGUGCGGGAAGAAGGCCUUCGGGUUGUAAACCGCUUUUAGCCGGGAAGAAAAGGCGCAGGACAAUACCCUGCGUUCUUGACGGUACCGGCGGAAUAAGCACCGGCUAACUACGUGCCAGCCGCCGCCGUAAUAC